CUCACAAAUUAAGGCUAUUUUUAAUUACAGUGGGGGCUUGGGCGGGUGGAUUUUUAGGUACGGUUGCAAAAACAAAAUACAAUCGGCUGUGAUUGAUCUGAAUUGGCAACCCUGUUAGUGAUUCAGAUAUUUUUACUUGAUUGACUAACGAGAAGCAAUUGCAGCAGUUAGAAUUUCCUUGUAAGCAAUUGUGAUUCACUUGAAGUCAUCUUCCAGAGCAGUGAUUCAGUACAACCAGAUCGCUGGAAAGAUUUGAAGAAAAAUUAGGAUUCACACAUUACUGCUGAUGUGGUCCAUGGUAAUAUGGGGGUGGAACUUGAACAGUCAGCUAUGGCAGUCAAGCACAGAGAGGGAGAUGGAAGCCACUGUGGUCCUACAAAGGCAGGAGAGUCCAGAGACCAAGCAAACUGCAGUCAGGAUGGUGCUGCGAAGGUGCCUGUGGGGUCUGUCACUGUUGGUGGCAUGUGUUCCUGUAUGACGGGAAGGUGGUCCGGCAUACACUUCCUGGUUGAGCGAGGGAGGGCCAGGAACGGCUUCAGAUGUGCUUCAGAGGACGCGUCUCGGCUUCAGAGGGUCUCAUCUUAGAAUUGGAUUCCAGAUAUCUCACAGGACACAAAUGCACAUUGAAUGGACGAGUUGUGGACAGUUCGGGGAAGGACUACAGCAACACCUGUGACAUAAGAAUGUGGCUAUUCAAGCUGGUCUCAGAGAAAUACACAAGAUGGUUUACCUAAAGGUUUGACGGAUGAAAUGGUGUUUUGCUGACUGCCGGUCUUCAGUGGUGAGUGAGAUGCUAUGCUAGCCUAUUGAAUAUGCAUAGAAAGUUUAACAUUUCCACUAGGACAACUCCAGUAUCUUGUUUUUCCUCUUGAGGUUGCUGUGAUGUUACCUGUUCUUUGUCCUAGCAGUACACUCCUAACAACCCAAACAUUAAGAAACUUCCAUCUGAUGAAAUAAGCUUCCCAUAGCAAAUCAGCCCUUCACCUUGACUGAAUUUGUCCCUCUUACUGACCUCCAUACACAACAUAUGCAGUUGAUAUUUGCACGACUCCAGCAACUGUGGUGAAGGGCCGAGGAGACGCAGGGGCCGAGGAGACGCAGAGGCCGAGGAUACGCAGUGACUGUGAAGCUGAUUACCAUGAGGAAAAUCUGAUAAAUUAGGUGAAAUGACGUCUGAGUUAUGAUGUCGCUUUGCCGUAAAACACAGUUAACAUCCACGGCUGUUUCACCAUAACCAAUUUCACCGCUUUAAAUGUUUUUUUGUAGCUAAUGCAGAGUCAACAACCCUCAGAUUGUGUUCAUAUUGUCGAUAUGGAUUUAAAUACCAAUACUGGGAUUUUAGCAACCUGCACCUGUUUUUUUAAUCUAAAUGUUAUAUAUUCUUCAUGUUUUUGAAAAAAUCCCUGAAUGGUACAGCAAAAUAAAAAAAAUAAAAGGAUGUCUUAUGUCCUCGAUACCAGGAUGUUGCUAAAAAUAUAUUUAAGUCUGGUAAGUUAGACCAACCGUUUACAGCAGGAUGACAUCCAGGUGAGCCUGUAACAAGUUACUUCUGUAUGCACAUAAAAGUAAGAAGGGGAUCUAAGGCAAACCAUACCCCUUCCUGUCAUACUGUGAGAACUAGCAGGAAUCCCAAAGGACUGUUCCUCAUUUAACACCUUUUUGUAAAAAAUAAAUAAAUAAAAUAAACAUUAAAAAUGAA